CUCCACAGUGGUGCAGAAGUGUGUGCUGUGAUAUUACAGUUUAUCUGUUUACUGCUGGUUUAUGUGGGUUUUUGGCUGUAACCUCCUGUCGUCUGCGUGAUAGUUCGGUUUGCUUGGUGUAGUGUGGUGGUAAACACCUGAAACUGAAUCCGUGGUGCAUCAGUCAGAAUUGAUCCUGAGUACAAACUCAGUGUGAAAACAGCAGACAGGAUAACUGGGUUAUGAAGCAGCUUUAUUCCUUCAUGACCAGAUCCUGUGAUGAUCCUCAUCGACUGCAGUGCAGCUGAGGAGAUACACCGUGCUCUGACCUGUACAAUGCCCAAGCCUUUAUGUGAGGAGAAUGCAGAUUUUAAACCUAAAAUUAUACAAGGAAACAUCUGGCAGUGGCCUGACCUAACCUGCAGGCUUCAUGAAUCAACAGUACAGAUGUGCAGAAGAUUCCAGAUGAUUUCAGACAACGAGCAGGGCUGGUUCUGGGUCAUAGAACAGCUUCAUCUGCAAGAAUGAAACGUUCUUCCUGCCAAGCAACAGAGAAGAAACUGUACAUUUUUAGUAAAGGUGAAGCCUCCAUGAUGUUCAGUCCUUAUUUCAGAGCCCUUCUGCUUGUUUAUCAGUUUCAGGAUUAAGAGGAAAACACACAAAAGCGUCUGGUGUAGAAAUAUCAGCACUCUGCUCUACUCAGACACACACACACACACACACACACACACACACACACACACACACACACAGGCAGACCCUUCUUGGAACACUUACACACUUCUGUAUAUGGUCAUAGGUUUUCGAUAAUGCUCCAAGUAUGUGUUCCACUUCCCUCUGGCUUGGAUUUUCACCAGGCCAUUUUUCAAACCAUGAUUUACAAUAUUAAUUAGAUUGAUAUAAAUAGAGCUUCAGGUUUACCAGCCUGUAGAACUCAGUGUUAGAGUGAGGAUCCAUGUGGGGAAGGAUUUAUAUAAUAAAACAACAGCCCUAUUCAGCCAAUAAAUACAAAUUCAAGUCACAAAAGUCACAAAAUAGAAAAACAGACAGGAAAUGGACACAAAAACACAGGAUUCAACAAACUAGGAGUAAAAAUCAAAACAUAGUAAAAACACACAGAACACACACAUCGACCUGCGUGUAACUAAAGAUGAGAUCGGGUUAAAACCGUGGUCAUGUCACUGUUCUGUGUAUCUGGUAUAUGUGCUUCUUCACCAGCGUUUUUAACUUCUCCAGAUCUACUCAUUUAUAGCAGAUAUCUCAGCAGGUUCUCCACACCAUAGGAAUAAAGACCUCAAAAUACUCAAUAAGAAAUUCUUCUGAUUUCCUGGUUUAAGUGUUUUAGCUGACCUUUUGAUCAUAGUUGGUGUUCUAAUGAGAGACUAGUCCUAAUAUUGGUCAGAAUGUCAGGAAAACCAUCUGGAUAUGAAAUGAAAUCUGUUUUCAGGGUUGGAUGGAUAUAUGAUAUAUAUAUCUGUGGGCAGAUUCCUGGUUCGUUCUGGACUGUGCACAUUCUUGACAGAGUCUUGCAUCCUGCAUUAAAAUGUUCAGUGAAUGCUAACAAAGGUUGAUGGUAUUCUGGAUUUCCUUGGCGUCUGGAAUGGUUCCCACAUGGUUUAAAAAACAAAUAUUUCUGUACGUUUGUCAUUUUGAAGUCUAGUGAUGUUCAUGAUGUUCCAGAAACCUUAUUGUCAUUUAUUGUCUUGUCCAUUCCUACAAUUCCAGAAUGGAUCUCAGGAACUCUUCCAAAAGUAUCUCACACAUGCCAGUCUCAACGAACUCUCGAUUCUCUUGUAGUCAUGUGUGAUCUUGAUAUACAAUGGUAAGAACAUAAUCUGUAAGUAAUUCAAAAAUGGUUCAAGAAGCAGAAGACUGAGGAGGCAUUGAGCAGUCCAUAUGAUAUUCAUGAUGUUUGGUAAUUAAGGUAAUUAAUGUUUUGUAUUGAUCCUCCUCUCUGAGAUGUUUGAGGUUGUAGGUGUAUGUAAAUUCCAGGUGGUAAAGAUACAUGUGCUUUGUUCCUGCUGUAUAAGUGUUGGUGGUGCCAGAGGUAAAAGAGAUCUACACUGUAUAGUGAUUAUUCAGUUCUUUAUUGUCGGAGCAGGAAAGUACUGAACAUAUCCCAGAGUUAAUGCCUCCUUUUUACACUUCACCACCGCCUGUGCUGCUGGCAAUGAUGGAUAAACAUUAUUCUGUUGGACGAGGUUCAGAAAUCCAGUCAUGUAAUGAAGAGGCAGUUAAUGUCUAGAUGAGGAUCUGGGCAGUUUUGUGUCCAUCUUGGUUCUACAACAUCCACAGUAAGACCAAGUGUAUUGUUUUUAACAAUAAAGAUAAAGAAUAGAGAUUUGUCACAAUGUUCAUUCGUAUAAGUAAUAUUCUAAUCAAACUGAAUUGAGUAGUGAAUCCAUUCCAGAAGCAGACAUGAAAGACCAAGCCAUGGUACUGCCUCCACUGGGCUUGAGUAAUAAACUCAUAGGAGCUUUGGAUCAUGAGCAGGUCCUUUCUUUUUCUGAACUUUGGGCUUUUUUUCCACUAGAGGUCGGUCCUGAUCUUAUCUGUUCAUAAAACUCAGAACACCUCAUUUAGAGCUCAUCUCAAUAUUCGGAAUUUUCUCAUGGCCAAACGUAUCACUUCUUUCUUCUUAGAACUUAAUCUUGCAUGACCCACAUCCAUAAAGUCAUUCUAACUCACUUUGAUGGAAAGUGCUUGUUUAUUGUGGUAAAUAUGAAGGAGACCAGUCCAGCACUCACCCAGUAGGUCAUUCUAUUUUAUAUGUGGAAUACACCGUACAGAGGAGAGAUUUAUUGGAGAUAUCUGAAGAUUUUUGCUUUAGAAGUAAGAAUAAUAAAAUGUCUUUCAUUCGUAGGUUUGCUGUUUAACAAACAUACAAAAAACUUUCGGAUGAAUUGAUGUCAGUUUAUGGAAUUGAACACAGUUAAAAAGCACUGUGCACUAACGUCUUUCUAACUCUAGAUCCCUCAUCCAGAGAAAAUGGUGGCCUUAUGUCUCUGGUGUUUGGUCUGUACAACAGAUGGUAACAUCUUCACUAAGUUUUAAUUCCUUUUGUGUAGAAGGAACACAUUCAGAUUCAUGCUGAAAACUUCUCUCUGAGAUUUAUCGACCCAGAAUCCCAGUGUGAAGGCACAUGCAUUAUGGAAAUGUUAUAAAUACCACAUAAAUAUGUUUAUCUUCUCAUAAACACAACCUGGAACUACUGCAUCAGUGAAGGAAAGUUCUGGUAGAUCAAAAUAAUACGGCUGAAGGUAUUGAUGAUAUUAGUGAUUUUUAGUGUCCAUAUUUGACAAAAUAUCAAACGUUUAUAGAAACCAGAGGAAUAUAAAUUUGUUAGAGGCCGAGGCUCUGGUCCAUCACCUGCUCAUGAUCCAGCCAUGCCAGUGCAGAGGGAAGAAAGAAAAGAGAGCGAGGAAGUUUAUAUAGUCAACACUGGAACUUUUG